rnacentral:rRNA from 1 species
GGAUGGGGAUGCGUCUGAUUAGCUUGUUGGCGGGGCAACGGCCCACCAAGGCAACGAUCAGUAGGGGUUCUGAGAGGAAGGUCCCCCACAUUGGAACUGAGACACGGUCCAAACUCCUACGGGAGGCAGCAGUGAGGAAUAUUGGUCAAUGGACGCAAGUCUGAACCAGCCAAGUAGCGUGCAGGAUGACGGCCCUAUGGGUUGUAAACUGCUUUUAUGCGGGGAUAAAGGGGCCCACGUGUGGGUUUUUGCAGGUACCGCAUGAAUAAGGACCGGCUAAUUCCGUGCCAGCAGCCGCGGUAAUACGGAAGGUCCGGGCGUUAUCCGGAUUUAUUGGGUUUAAAGGGAGUGUAGGCGGUCUGUUAAGCGUGUUGUGAAAUUUAGGUGCUCAACAUUUAACUUGCAGCGCGAACUGUCAGACUUGAGUACACGCAGCGCAGGCGGAAUUCAUGGUGUAGCGGUGAAAUGCUUAGAUAUCAUGACGAACUCCGAUUGCGAAGGCAGCGUACGGGAGUGUUACUGACGCUUAAGCUCGAAGGUGCGGGUAUCGAACAGGAUUAGAUACCCUGGUAGUCCGCACGGUAAACGAUGGAUGCCCGCUGUUAGCGCCUGGCGUUAGCGGCUAAGCGAAAGCAUUAAGCAUCCCACCUGGGGAGUACGCCGGCAACGGUGAAACUCAAAGGAAUUGACGGGGGCCCGCACAAGCGGAGGAACAUGUGGUUUAAUUCGAUGAUACGCGAGGAACCUUACCCGGGAUUGAAAUGUAGAUGACGGAUGGUGAAAACCGUCUUCCCUUCGGGGCGUCUAUGUAGGUGCUGCAUGGUUGUCGUCAGCUCGUGCCGUGAGGUGUCGGCUUAAGUGCCAUAACGAGCGCAACCCACAUCGGUAGUUGCUAACAGUUUUCGCUGAGGACUCUACCGAGACUGCCGUCGUAAGGCGCGAGGAAGGUGUGGAUGACGUCAAAUCAGCACGGCCCUUACAUCCGGGGCGACACACGUGUUACAAUGGGAGGGACAAAGGGCAGCUACCGGGCGACCGGAUGCGAAUCUCUAAACCCUUCCCCAGUUCGGAUCGGAGUCUGCAACUCGACUCCGUGAAGCUGGAUUCGCUAGUAAUCGCGCAUCAGCCAUGGCGCGGUGAAUACGUUCCC